UAAACUGAACUUUUUCCAUUCAGCCAGCAUUAGGCUUUUCAACCCUAAACUGAGCUUUUCCAUGCAAUCAGCAUUAGGGUUUUAAACCCUAAACUGAAUUUUUCCUUUCAGCCAGCAUUAGGGUGUUAAACCCUAAACUGAGCUUUUCCAUGCAAUCAGCAUUAGGGUUUUAAACCCUAAACUGAAUCUUUCCUUUAGUCAGCAUUAGGGUUUUAAACCCUAAACUGAACUUUUUUCCAUUCAGCCAGCAUUAGGGUUUUAAACCCUAAACUGAGCUUUUCCAUGCAAUCAGCAUUAGGGUUUUAAGCCCUA
rnacentral:lncRNA from 1 species